UACGUAGGGUGCGAGCGUUGUCCGGAAUUAUUGGGCGUAAAGAGCUUGUAGGCGGUUUGUCGCGUCUGCUGUGAAAAUCCGGGGCCCAACCCCGGACUUGCAGUGGGUACGGGCAGACUAGAGUGUGGUAGGGGAGACUGGAAUUCCUGGUGUAGCGGUGAAAUGCGCAGAUAUCAGGAGGAACACCGAUGGCGAAGGCAGGUCUCUGGGCCACUACUGACGCUGAGAAGCGAAAGCAUGGAGAGCGAACAGG
rnacentral:rRNA from 1 species